GCGUGCGCGGCGGCCUCAUCCCCGCCGGCGAGCCUCCACUCCCCUCCGCCGGUACACCUCUAUCGCCGGUGGACUCCCCCUCGGCUGAAAUGCGGUCCUUGUUGCUGGCCAUUGCUGCAGCUGGUGCAGAAAGGUCCGGCGACGGAUGUGGCCGGACGUCCCGUAUCCACAGCGACGAACGCGUCGAACCCGUGAUGGCUGACGUUCGAGAAGGCCAUCGCCUCCGCAGGUGGGGAGCUGUCUAAGCCUGAGAUCCUGUCUUCGACCACGGACUCACGCUUUGCGAGGCAGCUGGGCAUCCCUGCCCUCGGGUUUUCUCCGAUGACCAGUGCGCCGAUACUGCUACAUGACCAUAACGAGUUUCUGGAAGACAGAGUGUUCCUGAGGGGCAUCCAAGUGUACGAACAUGUCAUCAGAGCACUAAGCUCGUUCCAAGGCUGAUUCGUAAA